rnacentral:rRNA from 1 species
GAUGAACGCUGGCGGCGUGCCUAACACAUGCAAGUCGAGCGGACCCUUCGGGGUGAGCGGCGGACGGGUGAGUAACGCGUGGGUAACCUGCCCUAUACACACGGAUAACGUACCGAAAGGUACGCUAAUACGGGAUAAUAUUGUUGGAUGGCAUCUUCUAACAAUCAAAGCUCCGGCGGUGUAGGAUGGACCCGCGUCUGAUUAGCUAGUUGGUGAGGUAAUGGCUCACCAAGGCGACGAUCAGUAGCCGACCUGAGAGGGUGAUCGGCCACACUGGAACUGAGACACGGUCCAGACUCCUACGGGAGGCAGCAGUGGGGAAUAUUGCACAAUGGGCGAAAGCCUGAUGCAGCAACGCCGCGUGAGCGAUGAAGGUCUUCGGAUCGUAAAGCUCUGUCCUCAAGGAAGAUAAUGACGGUACUUGAGGAGGAAGCCCCGGCUAACUACGUGCCAGCAGCCGCCGUAA